CAAAAAAUGGAUGACUAGAAGAGAGGCGAAAUACAACUAAGAAACACAACUUCCUACGUGGUAUGAAGUCACUCUGCUCUUCUGCCUGAGAAAAUUGUCAGAAUAGAAAUGGAGUCACGAAUGUUCACAAAACCCUGACCAAUAGGAUUGGAGAAGUCCUGAAGAGAAGAUUUUUGGGCUUGCAUGCCUGAUUUAAAAAAAAAAAGAGACUACAAAAACCACAGCCUUGCUCAGAGGACAUCGCCAGGGUACACAAAAAAGACAUUUGCAAGGACAUCUCCCCAGUAACCUCCUGUUUAACUUCGGACUGGUGUCACCCUUGUUAUUGAUAUUUCUAACCACAGAUAAUUAUUUCAAAACAAUUAUGUAAUUCUUCUUAUUUUUUUCCUUUAAAAACCUUUGUCUUCCUUUACCUCUCUGAAUACGCACUUACUUUUUACUAUGGCACACGUAUUCCCAUUGCAAUGCUUUAUUCCCAAAUAAAUUUCUUUUAGAGAGCUUGUCUCGGUUUAUUUCAGUUGACACCAAAUUUUCUAUGUGUAAGUGAAAAAAAGGUAGGGGGGAAUCAUAAAGUGUCAAAAUGGAGAGAUGUCUUCCAGAUGGUUCAGUCCAGUCCCUGUGUCUUACUAAAGGAGACUAAGCAUGUUAACACACACACACAAACACACACACACACACACACUCCAACC
rnacentral:lncRNA from 1 species